rnacentral:lncRNA from 1 species
CCAGCUCUGCUCCGAUUUUGACUCAACUUCAACUGAACUUUUCUUGAUGAUAAAAGCUGAUUUAGCUCUUGACCAAAACAUAAAACUUGUAGCCCUUUGAGUUAGCUUUCCAAUGCAUCAAGAAUCACCUCAUUUGGAUCUGUGUAGGCUGAGAAAUGACCGAAAUACCCUUACCUGCUCAUUGCCCUGUUCCAGUUUCGACCAGUAGAAAUUUGCUAUUGUAAUUCGGCAUUUUGACCUGGAAAACCUUCAAACUGGAUUUAGAUGUCUUCACCAAAGUUGUAGAUCUAUCUCUUAUCUUCAAAUUGGUUCAAGAAUCAUCUUAAUCCGAUCACUGUAGCUCAAGUUAUAGCCGAAAUACGAAAAUGUGUCAAAACUGUCAAAAUACACAAAAUCCAAGUAAAAAGUGAUAAAAACCUCAUUUAACCACUUAAAAACAUUUUUCACCAAUUAUAGCCAAAAUGAAUCAUUUUCUUCCAAUAAUAUACCCAAAGUGACUAAAAAUAAUAUAAAAUAUCAUACAAUUAUUACGUAAAUUAGUCACUUAUCAUGUAUUAAACAACAAUAUGCAAUUUUACAGCCAAAAUUCAUGGAGGAAAACUGGAAAAGUUCUUCCUCUCUCUCUUGGCCAUCUCAACAAAAUUUCCAGCAAGGUCCUUCAAUAUUUUCAGCCAAGUUCACCAACUUUUCACUAGUUUCAAAGAUAAAACAUACUAUAUAUAUAAGGCAAGAGAUAAAAUAUAUAUCAUGCAUUUCUAGUAAAAUUUCUUCCAAGAUUUUUAAUGAAUAGUUGUGAAACUCAAGCUCUCUUCCUCUCGGUCAACACAGAGAAUUUUCCAGCAGGUUAUCAGUUUUUAAGCAAAGUUUUCCUUCAGAUUUUACGCUGAUCCUUCUUUGUUUCACGUUAAACACUGCAUGCAUGACAAGGUAGAAGAGCUAGGGUGUGUGUGUGUUGUAUACAAAUUCAACUUAACAAAUUUUGAGAGAAGAACAACAUGCAGUAAUUUCAGCAGAAUAUUUCCAGCUUUGAGGCAUUUUUCCUUGGUUAAAUUUCUCUUUUCUUGAGGGUAGUUCAAGUUAAGACAGUAUAGAACUAAGGUAGAGAGGAAAUAAGGGAAAUUUAUCAGGUUUUACCUCUUGUUUCCUGACAAUGAAAGCUGGGAAAAUUGCAGACUGUUUCACCUUUCUUCUCUCGGUUUCUCAAAGGCAAAAUGCUCCAAUUUUCUCCCCUCAAUGCAGCUGGUUUGGGCACAAAGAAGCUGCAAUCGCUUCCUCACUCUCAAUUCUCUCUCUUGUGUUGAAUUGAUAAGAGGAAAAUGGACUAACUCUCUCACUCACUCUCUCGGUUGCAGGCUAGAAUAAAAAAGAACUAGAAAUGUGUUUGCUCUCUCGGUC